rnacentral:rRNA from 1 species
CCUACGGGAGGCAGCAGUGAGGAAUAUUGGUCAAUGGACGAGAGUCUGAACCAGCCAAGUAGCGUGAAGGAUGACUGCCCUAUGGGUUGUAAACUUCUUUUAUAAAGGAAUAAAACGAGGCACGUGUGCCUUUUUGCAUGUACUUUAUGAAUAAGGAUCGGCUAACUCCGUGCCACCAGCCGCGGUAAUACGGAGGAUCCGAGCGUUAUCCGGAUUUAUUGGGUUUAAAGGGAGCGUAGAUGGGUUGUUAAGUCAGUUGUGAAAGUUUGCGGCUCAACCGCAAAAUUGCAAUUGAUACUGGCAGUCGUGAGUACAGUUGAGGUAGGCGGAAUUCGUGGUGUAGCGGUGAAAUGCUUAGAUAUCACGAAGAACCCCGAUUGCGAAGGCAGCUUACUAAACUGUGACUGACAUUGAUGCUCGAAAGUGUGGGUAUCAAACAGGAUUAGAUACCCCUGUAGUC